GCUGGCGUAGCUCAGUUGGUAGAGCAGCUGAUUUGUAAUCAGCAGGUCGGAGGUUCGAGUCCUCUUGCCAGCUCCA
rnacentral:tRNA from 1 species